rnacentral:rRNA from 1 species
UUAUUGGAGAGUUUGAUCCUGGCUCAGGAUGAACGCUGGCGGCGUGCCUAAUACAUGCAAGUCGAGCGAAUGGAUUGAGAGCUUGCUCUUAUGAAGUUAGCGGCGGACGGGUGAGUAACACGUGGGUAACCUGCCCAUAAGACUGGGAUAACUCCGGGAAACCGGGGCUAAUACCGGAUAAUAUUUUGAACUGCAUGGUUCGAAAUUGAAAGGCGGCUUCGGCUGUCACUUAUGGAUGGACCCGCGUCGCAUUAGCUAGUUGGUGAGGUAACGGCUCACCAAGGCAACGAUGCGUAGCCGACCUGAGAGGGUGAUCGGCCACACUGGGACUGAGACA